UUUUUCUGGACUGUCCAUAUGUUCUGGUUAGUUUUUUUGAAUGUCCAGGAAUCCAUUUAAAGUAUUUUUUGUGGAUGGUAUAUAUGGGACUAGUGGGUCCUAACACUAUUUACAUCCUGACGUCUUAGAUAUUGAACGAAAGCCCCGUGCCUUAACGUCGACCACCAUGACACCCGUGGGUUCUGCACUUUUUUUAGAGCAUGGUUAAUAGUAUAGCCAACUGCUGGCUAUAAGUAGUCUUAUAGCCCAUCUUAUAGCUAGC
rnacentral:lncRNA from 1 species